rnacentral:tRNA from 2 species
AAUGUGAGGACUGCGAAUGUAGGUUACUGUGAUAUAGUAAACUUUAAGUUUAAAUACUUCCACAUUA